rnacentral:rRNA from 1 species
CAGCAGCCGCGGUAAUACGAAGGGGGCUAGCGUUGCUCGGAUUUACUGGGCGUAAAGCGCACGUAGGCGGAUCGAUCAGUCAGGGGUGAAAUCCUGGAGCUCAACUCCAGAACUGCCUUUGAUACUGUCGAUCUCGAGUCCGGAAGAGGUGAGUGGAACUCCUAGUGUAGAGGUGGAAUUCGUAGAUAUUAGGAAGAACACCAGUGGCGAAGGCGGCUCACUGGUCCGGUACUGACGCUGAGGUGCGAAAGCGUGGGGAGCAAACAGGAUUAGAUACCCCAGUAGUCCCUGUCUCUUAUAC